rnacentral:rRNA from 1 species
AGCGAACGCUGGCGGCAGGCCUAACACAUGCAAGUCGAACGAGACCUUCGGGUCUAGUGGCGGACGGGUGAGUAACACGUGGGAACGUGCCUUUAGGUUCGGAAUAACUCAGGGAAACUUGUGCUAAUACCGAAUGUGCCCUUCGGGGGAAAGAUUUAUCGCCUUUAGAGCGGCCCGCGUCUGAUUAGCUAGUUGGUGAGGUAAUGGCUCACCAAGGCUACGAUCAGUAGCUGGUCUGAGAGGAUGAUCAGCCACAUUGGGACUGAGACACGGCCCAAACUCCUACGGGAGGCAGCAGUGGGGAAUCUUGCGCAAUGGGCGAAAGCUUGACGCAGCCAUGCCGCGUGUAUGAUGAAGGUCUUAGGAUUGUAAAAUACUUUCACCGGUGAAGAUAAUGACUGUAGCCGGAGAAGAAGCCCCGGCUAACUUCGUGCCAGCCGCCGCCGUAACAC